CUACGGGAGGCACCAGUGAGGAAUAUUGCACAAUGGGGGGAACCCUGAUGCAGCAACGCCGCGUGGAGGAUGACGCAUUUCGGUGUGUAAACUCCUUUUAUAUGUCAAGAAAAUGACGGUAGCAUAUGAAUAAGCACCGGCUAACUCCGUGCCAGCAGCCGCGGUAAUACGGAGGGUGCAAGCGUUACUCGGAAUCACUGGGCGUAAAGGACGCGUAGGCGGGUUGGAAAGUCAGGUGUGAAAUCCUACAGCUUAACUGUAGAACUGCACUUGAAACUUCUAAUCUAGAGUAUGGGAGGGGGAGAUGGAAUUAGUGGUGUAGGGGUAAAAUCCGCAGAUAUCACUAGGAAUACCUAAAGCGAAGGCGAUCUCCUGGAACAUUACCGACGCUAAGGCGUGAAAGCGUGGGGAGCAAACAGGAUUAGAUACCCCAGUAGUC
rnacentral:rRNA from 1 species